rnacentral:rRNA from 1 species
GAGCCUGCGAAGGCAAGCGGAUCUCUUAAAGCUGUUCUCAGUUCGGACUGCAGUCUGCAACUCGACUGCACGAAGCUGGAAUCGCUAGUAAUCGCGGAUCAGCAUGCCGCGGUGAAUACGUUCCCGGGCCUUGUACACACCGCCCGUCACACCAUGAGAGUUUGUAACACCCAAAGCCGGUGGGGUAACCUUUUGGAGCCAGCCGUCUAAGGUGGGACAGAUGAUUAGGGUGAAGUCGUAACAAGGUACC